rnacentral:rRNA from 1 species
CCUACGGGAGGCAGCAGUGAGGAAUAUUGGUCAAUGGACGAGAGUCUGAACCAGCCAAGUAGCGUGAAGGAUGAUUGCCCUAUGGGUUGUAAACUUCUUUUAUAUGGGAAUAAAACGUUCCACGUGUGGGCUUUUGUAUGUACCAUAAGAAUAAGGAUCGGCUAACUCCGUUCCAGCCGCCGCGCGAAUACGGAGGGUCCGAGCGUUAUCCGGAUCUAUUGGGCGGAAAGGGAGCGUAGGCGGAGUGUUAAGUCAGGUGUGAAAGUUUGGGGCUCAACCGGAGAAUUGCAGUUGAUACUGGGAGUCUAGAGUACAGUAGAGGUGGGCGGAAUUCGUGGUGUAGCGGUGAAAUGCGUAGAGAUGUGGAAGAAUUCCGAAUGCGAAGGCAGUUCACUGGGAUGGUACUGACGCUGAGGUUCGAAAGUGUGGGGAGCAAACAGGAUUAGAUACCCUUGUAGUC